rnacentral:lncRNA from 1 species
GAGUCAAUGUUUUAAAUUAUCAUGUUCGUUAAACUAAAUUUUGAAAUAUCCUUUUUUGCAUACGAUUAAAAAAUUUUGUUAUUUAGAUGAUUUGGUAAAUAACUGCGAACUUCUUCGGAGAUUACAAAAAAAGUUAUUUUUAUAAGUUAAAAAAGAAAAACAAAAGUCGACAAAGAAAUAAAAAGAAAAAAGAAAGAAAAAGAAAAGAGUCAACAAAAAAAAAAGUUUCAAGGUAAAAAAGAACUGAAAUGAUUUCAAGAUGAUUUGUUUGGAUAUAAUCUUUCCGCUCCGAAGUACGCCUUUUGGGGCUCUCGCUAUAGCGAGGGCGCCAAAAGGCUUACUUCAGAUCUUGAAGUAUGUUUUACACAAAAUCUCAUAAACAUUAUGUUCUGUUGCAUUUCUGAAUUAAAGUUAUGAACAUAUGGUCCACAACAGUCCGGAAACACUUGGCCGACAAAAAGGUAACUUAAAAAAGCAUAAAAAUUAUGACUUAUAAAGGUCGCCAAUUAGCUGAAUCAGAAAUUCAGAACUUCAUAAAUGAGUUAAAAAACAAUGAAAAUGAAGAUUAUGAAGAUGAUUAGUGGCAUUAAUGUCUAUUAAAAGCGAAGUUACAAAAAGUCUAGAUUUUGAAGAGAUUCUGAAUCAUUUUAUGUAUGAAAAAUCAAGGAAAAAAAUAUACUAAUUUGGAUACAUCAAUUGCAAGUUUCCAAAUACAUGCAAAGUAAAUUGAAAGAGUUGAUAGAGUCGCAGCAUUUUUAGAGAAAUAUCAGUGUUUCCCUAAUGUUCUAUUAUGAGAAGAUAUUUUCAAAACUGCCAUGUCCUCUAAUGGGUUAUUCUAAAAGUUUUCUCUGCUUUAUAAAGUUGUAUGCUUUUUUUAUUAUUGUUAUUUAAUUCAGAUUGUUGGCGACAUUGCUCAUGUAUUAAAAUCUUCUGUCAUAGUUGACUCAGCAAGAAUAAAGACAUUGAUACACCUUUGCAUUAUGGAAUACACAAGUUGGCAGUUCCUCGCCCACUGCCACCCAAAUACAGGAAAGUAUGCAUGCAUACACAAUCCUCAAAAUUAGUAAAACUAAAGUGAGUAAUAAAUUUUCGACUUUAAAUUGUUUUAGGUUGGCAUCAGAUUACAAUCGGCAAACAUAAAGCCAUUUUUAGAAAGGUUUUACUAUAAAAGAUGAAAACGAGGUCAGCAAAAAAUUGCCAACCUCAGGCAUUUUUAUGUUUUUGCUUGCUUAGGGUUAGAGUUAGGUACAAUAAUGUAUUGAAAUCAAUUAAUAAUUAAAUAAGGAAUGUGUUUUUAGAUACUUAAGUUAAACACUUAAUAAAGUACUUGCUGCAAUUACUUUCAAAAGACUAAAACUGGACAUAUUGUUUUAGAAAAAGCUACUUAAAAAAUCCUUAUCUGUACGUAACAGACGACAUACAAAAAGGCUUUCAGAUCAUUUAAAAAUCACUUAAAGGGAAAACCAUCGGUACUAUGGAGACGAAGUGAUUAUUAUGUGUGGCAAAAGAUUAUUUUAUGAAGUUUUUCAUUUUCUGAAUUCGUGAUGGAACCUUUUGGAAUACACUUGUCAUGGACAUGGGAGGAGUAUUGCCGCUACAAGCUUGAACAAUGAUAAAACAUUUCAAAGAAUAAUUUGUUAUUUCAACGAUUAGAUUUGUUGUUUAAAUGUAUAAAUGCUUUUUGAA